UUCUACUGAGAAGGCUUUCAGGACAACCAGAUUCAGUGUCUUUACAGGGGAGCGAAGAGAUGGAGACUGUCCUGCACGUGCUCGUGGGGAUGUUGGGAUUGCAAGCAGCCUGGGUCAGCAGCCAAGAGCUGCAGCAGAGUCAGUCUCAGGUCGUCCAAGAGGGAGAAGAUCUCAUCGUAACCUGCAAUUCGUCAACGGCUUUGUUUGUCUUACACUGGUAUAGACAGAGCGGUGGAGGUCCUGUCUUCUUGAUGAUGUUACAGAAAGGCAGAGAUGAGAAAAGUCACGGAAACAUAACUGCCAAGUUGGACGAGAAAAGGCAGCAAAGUUCCCUGCGUAUCACAGCCGCCCGGCCCAGACACGCAGGCACCUACUUCUGUGCGGGAAAUGUGGAGGCAGCAACUUUAAACUGGCAUUUGGAAAAGGAACCCUCUUAACAGUAAAUCCAAACAUUAAUAUAACAGAACCUGCCGUGUACCAGCUGAGAAACCCUAAAUCCAGAAAUGUCUCCGUCUGCCUGUUCACCGAUUUUGAUUCUACACUCAAUGUGACAAGAGCCAUGGGGUCCGAAGUGUCUCACACCGAGCAAACUGUGCUGGACAUGACGUCGCUGGAUUCCAAGAGCAAUGGUGCCGUGGCCUGGAGCAACACAAUCGAUUUUAAUUGUACAAAUGUCUUCCAAGAGAAUAUGUUCUACCCCAGCUCAGACUUUCCUUGUAAUGCCACGUUGGUAGGAGAAGGCUUUGAAACAGAUAUGAACCUAAACCUUCAAAACCUGUCCGUGCUGGGCCUCCGAAUCCUCCUCCUGAAAGUGGGUGGAUUUAACCUGCUCAUGACUCUGCGGCUGUGGUCCAGCUAGGUCAGCAAGGCUGCGUGGGCCUGCGUUCCUCUGCUCCCUCCUGCCCUUCCUCAAGCAGAAGGGAGCUCUCCCACUGCUCCGGCCACCCUGUCAAUGCUGGAUUGUGUCGAAGAUGCUGAAGAGAUGCCAAGGCUGCUGCCACCCCCACCCCAUUCCCUACUGCUGCUUGUCACCGUUCACAGCAAAGGUGGGCGGCCACAGCCUCCCACACUGUGAAGGAAUCCCUGCCCCUCCACAGGGACGGCCUCCGCUGUCCCACUGGGUGACCAGUCCCCAGUAGCUCCUGGAUAAUGUUGUGAAGAGCUUUUAUUUUUUAAAAUAGUGUUCAUAAGGAAAUACAAGUUAUUCUUUCUCACAAGAUGUAGAAUGAAAUUAUCUCAUUCCAGGGAUGGCAAACCUGUGGCACAUGCACCACAGUGGGCUGUUUGUUAUCACUGAAAGCUCUCGAAGGUUCGCCAUCACUAGCUAGACCUUCCCUGCCAUGCUGUGACCUGAACCAAAAUGUGUAUUAUUCGACUGCCCUGGCUUCAUUAAAAGUGAUCAAAAGAGUGGA